GAGAGAGAGAGGAAUAAACACCCUCUGUGUACUGCUGUGCCCACAACGGCUUUUAGCUGUCAGCACCUCCGUGAAAGAGCCUCGGCUCAGCGGCGGUGUUGGUUGCGUAUGAUAUUGCUUCUCAGCUGGAGGGACACAUUUUGAAGAGUAUGCAGAGUGAAAGGCAGUCUCAACCCAGCAAGCAGAGUUGUAACCAACAGCAUCACAUCUCGGCUUGUUUCAGUACCUGUUGGCAUGCCAUGGGAUCUUUAACAUGGACC